rnacentral:rRNA from 1 species
UACAGAGGGGGCAAGCGUUAUUCGGAAUUAUUGGGCGUAAAGGGCGCGUAGGCGGCUUUGCAAGUGACGGGUGAAAUCCCUCGGCUUAACCGAGGAACUGCCUGUCAGACUGCAUGGCUUGAGACCGGGAGAGGUGAGUGGAAUUCCCAGUGUAGCGGUGAAAUGCGUAGAGAUCAGGAAGAACACCGGUGGCGAAAGCGCUCUGCUAGGCCGCAACUGACACUGAGGGACGAAAGCUAGGGGAGCGAAUGGG